UACGUAGGUGGCGAGCGUUGUCCGGAAUUACUGGGUGUAAAGCGCGUGUAGGCGGGAGGCCAAGUCUGUGGUGAAAUCGCUCGGCUUAACUGGGCGGGGUCCAUGGAAACUGGUCACCUGGAGGUCGGUAGAGGCAAGUGGAAUUUCCGGUGUAGUGGUGAAAUGCGUAGAGAUCGGGAGGAACACCAGUGGCGAAGGCGGCUUGCUGGGCCGGACCUGACGCUGAGACGCGAAGGCGUGGGGAGCGAACGGG
rnacentral:rRNA from 1 species